ACUCCUACGGGAGGCAGCAGUAGGGAAUCUUCCGCAAUGGGCGCAAGCCUGAUGGAGCAACACCGCGUGAGUGAAGAAGGGUUUCGGCUCGUAAAGCUCUGUUGUUAAAGAAGAACACGUAUGAGAGUAACUGUUCAUACGUUGACGGUAUUUAACCAGAAAGUCACGGCUAACUACGUGCCAGCAGCCGCGGUAAUACGUAGGGUGGCAAGCGUUAUCCGGAUUUAUUGGGCGUAAAGAGAGUGCAGGCGGUUUUCUAAGUCUGAUGUGAAAGCCUUCGGCUUAACCGGGAGAAGUGCAUCGGAAACUGGAUAACUUGAGUGCAGAAGAGGGUAGUGGAACUCCAUGUGUAGCGGUGGAAUGCGUAGAUAUAUGGAAGAACACCAGUGGCGAAGGCGGCUACCUGGUCUGCAACUGACGCUGAGACUCGAAAGCAGUGGGUAGCGAACAGGAUUAGAUACCCUGGUAGGAUAGCG
rnacentral:rRNA from 1 species